rnacentral:rRNA from 1 species
UACCCUUGACAUGCCUGGAAUCCUGCAGAGAUGUGGGAGUGCUCGAAAGAGAGCCAGGACACAGGUGCUGCAUGGCCGUCGUCAGCUCGUGUCGUGAGAUGUUGGGUUAAGUCCCGCAACGAGCGCAACCCUUGUCAUUAGUUGCUACGAAAGGGCACUCUAAUGAGACUGCCGGUGACAAACCGGAGGAAGGUGGGGAUGACGUCAGGUCCUCAUGGCCCUUAUGGGUAGGG